rnacentral:rRNA from 1 species
CUUUCAACAACGGAUCUCUUGGCUCUCGCAUCGAUGAAGAACGGCGAAAUGCGAUAAGUAAUGUGAAUUGCAGAAUUCAGUGAAUCAUCGAAUCUUUGAACGCACCUUGCGCCCC